UGUACGUCAACAGUUAAUUAGAAGCUAGAGUAUAAACCGAAAAAAUAGCUUCAACUAGCCAUUAGCAGGAUAGUUGCUAUUUCACCGAGUUCCUGCUGGAGAAAGGUAACGCGAUGGCAGAACCGAUAAACCGGAAGACUGGUCACUUACUGGAAGGGACCAUGGACAAUGUGUUGUUGCCUAAUCACCUUCAUAUCGUUACAGAUUCCUAUUGUGUCGUUUCCCUUUAAGAGAAAGGCCGGCGCAGAGGCUGAUUCGACGCUGUAGAAACAUCAAGCAUUGAUCUAAUUCCGAUGCUAACAAUUAAGAUAAGUAUUCAAUUUCUUGGCACUUUUUUCAGAAUUAUUUUGUUGCUGUUGAUAAGAUCCCGAAAUUAAGGAAAACCACCUAAUGUUCCAGUUAGAGAUGUACUAG